rnacentral:rRNA from 1 species
AUUGAACGCUGGCGGAAUGCUUUACACAUGCAAGUCGAGCGGCAGCACGGGGGCAACCCUGGUGGCGAGCGGCGAACGGGUGAGUAAUACAUCGGAACAUGCCCAGUCGUGGGGGAUAACACUUCGAAAGAAGUGCUAAUACCGCAUACGUCCUGAGGGAGAAAGCGGGGGAUCUUCGGACCUCGCGCGAUUGGAGUGGCCGAUGUCAGAUUAGUUAGUUGGUGGGGUAAAGGCCUACCAAGGCAACGAUCUGUAGCUGGUCUGAGAGGAUGAGCAGCCACACUGGAACUGAGACACGGCCCAGACUCCUACGGGAGGCAGCAGUGUGGAAUUUUGGACAAUGGGGGCAACCCUGAUCCAGCCAUUCCGCGUGAGUGAAGAAGGCCUUCGGGUUGUAAAGCUCUUUCGGCAGGAACGAAACGGUGAGCUCUAACAUAGCUUGCUAAUGACGGUACCUGAAGAAGAAGCACCGGCUAACUACGUGCCAGCAGCCGCCGCCGUAA